AUAUGAGUAUUCUGCCUAAAU
rnacentral:miRNA from 1 species